rnacentral:tRNA from 1 species
GGAAUGAUUGCGAGGCUGGUGCCCGCCUCGGUCUUCAAAACCGUUGGGACGGUGUAGAGCCGUCCGGUGAGUUCGAUUCUCACGCGUUCCCGCA